rnacentral:rRNA from 1 species
ACCUAAUAGAUACCCGGUAGUCCACGCCCUAAACGAUGCGAACUGGAUGUUGGGUACAUUACGGUGCUCAGUGUCGAAAGCUAAACGCGUUAAGUUCGCCGCCUGGGGAGUACGGUCGCAAGACUGAAACUCAAAGGAAUUGACGGGGGCCCGCACAAGCGGUGGAGUAUGUGGUUUAAUUCGAUGCAACGCGAAGAACCUUACCUGGCCUUGACAUCUGUCGAAUCCUGCAGAGAUGCGGGAGUGCCGCAAGGAACGACAAGACAGGUGCUGCAUGGCUGUCGUCAGCUCGUGUCGUGAGAUGUUGGGUUAAGUCCCGCAACGAGCGCAACCCUUGUCCCUAGUUGCCAGCACAUCAUGGUGGAACUACUAGGAGACUGCCGGUCGACAAACCGGAACGGAAGGUAGGGGAGUGACGUCAAGU